GAUGAACGCUGGCGGCGUGCCUAAUACAUGCAAGUCGAGCGAACGGACGAGAAGCUUGCUUCUCUGAUGUUAGCGGCGGACGGGUGAGUAACACGUGGAUAACCUACCUAUAAGACUGGGAUAACUUCGGGAAACCGUAGCUAGUACCGGAUAAUAUUUUGAACCGCACGGUUCAAAAGUGAAAGACGGUCUUGCUGUCACUUAUAGAUGGAUCCGCGCUGCAUUAGCUAGUUGGUAAGGUAACGGCUUACCAAGGCAACGAUGCAUAGCCGACCUGAGAGGGUGAUCGGCCACACUGGAACUGAGACACGGUCCAGACUCCUACGGGAGGCAGCAGUAGGGAAUCUUCCGCAAUGGGCGAAAGCCUGACGGAGCAACGCCGCGUGAGUGAUGAAGGUCUUCGGAUCGUAAAACUCUGUUAUUAGGGAAGAACAUAUGUGUAAGUAACUGUGCACAUCUUGACGGUACCUAAUCAGAAAGCCACGGCUAACUACGUG
rnacentral:rRNA from 1 species